rnacentral:rRNA from 1 species
ACUCCUACGGGAGGCAGCAUUGGGGAAGUAUUUGCACAAUGGGCGCAAGCCUGAUGCAGCCAUGCCGCGUGUGUGAAGAAGGCCUUCGGGUUGGUAAAGACACUUUCAGUCGUGAGGAAGGUAGUGUAGUUAAUAGCUGCAUUAUUUGACGUUAGCGACAGAAGAAAGCACCGGCUAACUCCGUGCCAGCAGCCGCGGUAAUACGG